GCCCCCAUAGCCCAAUUGGCAGAGGCAGACGACUUAAAAUCGUCACAGUCUGGGUUCAAGUCCCAGUGGGGGCACCG
rnacentral:tRNA from 3 species